rnacentral:rRNA from 1 species
UCUCCAGACUCCUACGGGAGGCAGCAGUGGGGGAUAUUGCACAAUGGGGGAAACCCUGAUGCAGCGACGCCGCGUGGGUGAAGAAGCGCCUCGGCGCGUAAAGCCCUGUCAGCAGGGAAGAAAAUGACGGUACCUGAAGAAGAAGCCCCGGCUAACUACGUGCCAGCAGCCGCGGUAAUACGUAGGGGGCAAGCGUUAUCCGGAUUCACUGGGUGUAAAGGGAGCGUAGACGGCGGCGCAAGUCUGGAGUGAAAGCCCGGGGCCCGACCCCGGGACUGCUCUGGAAACUGCGGCGCUGGAGUACGGGAGGGGCAGGCGGAAUUCCUGGUGUAGCGGUGAAAUGCGUAGAUAUUAGGAGGAACACCAGUGGCGAAGGCGGCCUGCUGGGCUUUUACUGACGCUGAGGCUCGAAAGUGUGGGGAGCAAACAGGAUUAGAUACCCCAGUAAU